rnacentral:rRNA from 1 species
UACAGAGGUCCCAAGCGUUGUUCGGAUUCACUGGGCGUAAAGGGUGCGUAGGCGGGUCUUUAAGUCAGGGGUGAAAUCCUGGAGCUCAACUCCAGAACUGCCUUUGAUACUGAAAGUCUUGAGUAUGGGAGAGGUGAGUGGAACUGCGAGUGUAGAGGUGAAAUUCGUAGAUAUUCGCAAGAACACCAGUGGCGAAGGCGGCUCACUGGCCCAUUACUGACGCUGAGGCACGAAAGCGUGGGGAGCAAACAGG